GAUGAAGAACGUAGCGAAAUGCGAUACGUAAUGUGAAUUGCAGAAUUCAGUGAAUCAUCGAAUCUUUGAACGCACAUUGCGCCCGCCAGUAUUCUGGCGGGCAUGCCUGUUCGAGCGUCAUUACAACCCUCAGGCCCCCGGGCCUGGCGUUGGGGAUCGGCGGAAGCCCCCUGCGGGCACAACGCCGUCCCCCAAAUACAGUGACGGUCCCGCCGCAGCUUCCAUUGCGUAGUAGCUAACACCUCGCAACUGGAGAGCGGCGCGGCCACGCCGUAAAACACCCAACUUCUGAAUGUUGACCUCGAAUCAGGUAGGAAUACCCGCUGAACUUAAGCAUAUCAAUAAGCGGAGGA
rnacentral:misc_RNA from 1 species